GCUCACAUAGCUCAGUCGGCAGAGCGCGUCCUUGGUAAGGACGAGGUCACCGGUUCGAUCCCGGUUGUGAGCUCCA
rnacentral:tRNA from 1 species